rnacentral:rRNA from 1 species
GCGGCCUAUCAGCUUGUUGGUGAGGUAAUGGCUCACCAAGGCGACGACGGGUAGCCGGCCUGAGAGGGCGACCGGCCACACUGGGACUGAGACACGGCCCAGACUCCUACGGGAGGCAGCAGUGGGGAAUAUUGGGCAAUGGAGGGAACUCUGACCCAGCGACGCCGCGUGCGGGAUGAAGGCCUUCGGGUUGUAAACCGCUUUCAGCAAGGAAGAAGCGAAAGUGACGGUACUUGCAGAAGAAGCACCGGCUAACUAUGUGCCAGCAGCCGCGGUAAUACAUAGGGUGCAAGCGUUGUCCGGAAUUAUUGGGCGUAAAGAGCUCGUAGGUGGUUCGUCACGUCGGAUGUGAAAAUCUGGGGCUUAACCCCAGGCCUGCAUUCGAUACGGGCGAGCUAGAGUGUGGUAGGGGAGACUGGAAUUCCU